GGCCUGAUGGUCUAGUAGUAUGAUUCCUUGUUAGGGUCGUGGAAGUAUUACGUCCAUCGAGGAGGUCCCGGGUUCAAUUCCCGGUCAGGCCC